ACUCAAAGUGAAUUUGCUUGUAGGCGUUGUUUCAACCGGCUAACAGCGUGUUACCUUGACACCUGACCUGUUACUUUUGUUGGUUGUAAGGAUAUAAUGUUCUGUGACCCAAAAAAUGUCGCAGCUUCCCAAAAUGGAUCAUGCAGUCCUGCUUUUCUUGUCAUUCAUUAUUUCAGUAAGAUCAGUUAGUCAUAUCGACCAACUAUUGUAUAUGCAGGAGUCAGCUCUUAUGGAGGCUGUGAGUCAAGGGAUCCCCGAGAGCUGGACAUGGCAAGCAGGACUUAGACGACCAAAUGAGCCAAAUUUGUUUUGUUGCGGCGUACUUAUUGGUAGUUCUUGGGUUCUUACUGCUGGACACUGUGUUUUUGCUAUGAGGGACUUCAUGCCAACCUCACUGAUUGAGGUAAUCAUAGGUGAAAAAGACCUUCGGAACAAAGACGGAGUCGCCACGAACGUGACUGAGGUGUUCCUUCACAAUAAGUACGACCCUGACACUCAGGACUAUGACUAUGCGCUCUUACGGCUUGCAGAUCCUGUAGAGCAAGGUCCAUUGAUGUACAUCCGUCCAGUCAAGUUGCCAAGUGACGAAUUAGACUUUGAGUCAGGGACGGUCUGCUUUGUGUCCGGGUACGGAGCGCCAAAACCCGGGAAUAACUCUUUUGCGAAACUGAUAACCGUUCAAGUACCAAUUGCAAGUGAUGAUGCAUGUAAGAACGCUUAUCAGGAUCGCACCAUAACAGCAAGAAUGUUCUGCGCAGGUUUUGAGGAAGGCGGCGCUGAUGCUUGUCAGGGGGACGGGGGAGGACCGUUGGUCUGUAAGGAUGGUAGUAAUUGGUAUUUAAAAGGGCUGGUGAGCUGGGGACGAGGUUGUGCUGUCCCAGGAAGCUAUGGAGUUUAUGCGAAUGUCAAAAAGGCAAUGAAGUGGAUACGGAAAAUAACGGAUCUUUCAGGAGACGAACCUGAACACUGAACCUCAUCUUUGUGACAAUUUUUCGCACUGUUAAUGGGUUCUGACAUAGUGUUAAAAAGAUAAGCAUCGCGCCGUAAUCAUGUGAAAAAUAAUAAUGGCAUCAGUUAAAUUUUCAUGAUUUUAACAGAGAUACAUUCUCACGAAACCUUACAUGCCAUUGCUCAUCUUUUUAAAAUUAGUUCACAUAAGUCGAAAAACCGAUCAUCAGAGUGAUUACCGUAGUUGUUUCGUUGUGUCAAUUAAGUCUUUUUUCAUCAGACAAUUUUUCUACGUUUUAUUUGCCAAAUUUACCAUUGGAAUGUCAAAGCAAAAUUCGCGUUAUUAAGUGUCACUAUAUGGGCUAGACGUGACAAGAACAUUUACUUAGAAUUUUAUUUUAUUGCUCAACAAUAAACUGCUUCAAAAUCGUAAAAAAUCGAUACCACUCGGUCUCAACUUUUAAAAAAUUGGUUACCUCUCCUGUACUUUUGAAUUUGUAUACCAUCAUGUUUCACGUUGAAAGUUUGCUAAAAUGACCUGCUAUAUGAUGUCGUUCCACCGAGAAAAAAAACACGCCCCCAGUGGGAUAAAAUGUGAGAAAAUAUACUAGCGUAAGAAAGAUUCCGGGUGACAAUGUUCACUUCUAUGAUGUUGGCCUUUGUGAUCUUUUGUUCUCUUUGUGUUUGUCUAAACACCGUCUCAGGUGCUGGUGAAAAUAACAUAACUUUAACCAACACUACAAAUCAACAUGUGCAAUGUUCUUACAAGGCAAUUGACCUCAUUAGACAAGAAA